rnacentral:lncRNA from 1 species
GAAGUGACUCUCCAGGGGAGCUAAAAUCCAUGUAUUUGGGCACACACUUGAACAAUAUUGCUAGAGAAAUUUAAGCAAGAGCACAAAGGUUAAUGACAUCUCUUGUGGGGACCACUGUGAGAAUAAAACAAGGCACUACGUUGUCUGGGAUGAUGGAAGGAGCUAAAGUCUUCAGUGAAUGAAGGAGCAGGACCAGGAGCUCAAAAUACUUCUUUGAAGACAAAGAAGAAAUGAUAUUACCAAAUGGUUGGCUCAAAAGAACAGGGAUUUUGCAACAGAGAGAGUAUGUCAUGGUCUUGAACAAGCAAUGUUUUGCCAGGACGAUUAAAUAUCAUUGAUGCUUCUGGUCUACAAUUAGUCAGAGAAGAGAUUAAAAAAAUGAUGAGUAUUCAAGAAGGAAAGUGUUUGCUUUAACAUAUGAAGAAAAGGAGCUUCAGAGUGGUGAUUAACCCCAGAAUUGUGUGGAACGGAUAUGGAAACAAGACCACAGGAGCAUCGAGAACUGAGCAGAACUGAAGGUGACAUGAAAAUCAGCUGCAAGAUUCACCUCAGGGUGAUAAUGGGCUGCAGGUGGCUGCAGGAAUCCCGGGACAUUCUAGGCACUGCCAUAUUUUCUUAGGGGCCAGUAAGGAUGGCUAUCAUCAGAUGUACCUGAUGAUACAAACAUGGGCUGUCUUGCCUUCUAGUAUUCAUUCUUGAUGAUUGCAUCCAGAGCUCACUUUGGAGGUGCAGAUCAACUCUUCUUCAGGCUCAUCCAUGCGACUUGAGUGGGCUCUCAUCCCCAUUCCCAGGGGCUUAUGACAAUCAAGGUUUCCACUCCUCCAUGGUCUCAAUGGUUUUUCUCCCCAUGGGAAGCACAUAAUCCCAUUAGAGGCCACGGGAAGCUUUUUUGUUGGGCUUUGAGGGAAAAAAGGCUUUUGCAGCCAAUGAAUCGAUCAAUGUGUACUUCAACCUGGAUUGUAUGUAUGCAUCUCCUAGAUUGGGCGGAUGAUGAAGUGAGGCUGGAAGUGCUGAGCAUCUUCCUACCUGGGAUGACUGGGCUGAGCAGGAAGCCUACCCCGGGGUUCCAGCCAAGUUGGAGCCUGUGAGUGUGUGGUGUAGUUUAACGCCCUGAUUAAAUCACUAGGAAGCCAUUUCUCUCUCUCCUCCCAGACCAGAUCAGACAAUAUGUUCCCUUAUUUCUACUAAAGCCCCAAUUGGAUUUUGUGUCUUUUGAUACUGAAAGAAUCUUACCACAAAUAAAAUAAUUUGUCAUGUGG